ACUGUGCCAUGUCCCUCGACACUGUGACGUGUCCCUCACUGUUAUGCUAUGUCUCUCAUCACAGUGCCACGUCCCUCACUGCUUUGCCAUGUCCCUUGCUGCCAUGCCAGGGCCCUUGGCACCAUGCCAUGUCCCCCAUCACUGUGCCAUGUCCCUCGCCACUGUGCCACCAUGCAGCCCCGGAGCACUGUGCCAGCCUCCACUGCUGCAUUUGCUCUCUUGCCCCGAGCAAGGCCCCGAGCUGGAGCAGCCCCCCCGCCCAUCAGCAGCAUUUGCCACUUUGAAUGUUUGUGAAGAGGAAAUAACAGACAGAAACCACAGCAGGCAAAGCUUUGGAGAACUCACUUGUGCUCAUGCAAAUGUGGUGAGAGUGACAGUCUGGGCUCAGACAGCUUCUGGGUGACAUCAAACCUCCGGUUGUUUGUAGCAGCAAGGACCCGAGCAGCAGGACCUGAGGGUGGGGAGGUGCUCCAGGCACGUGUCACCAGCCCUUCCCACACUGGAGCCAGAGGCGUGAGGGCGCCGGAGCCGUCUGGAGCUGCCGGACGGCUGGAGCAAAGGCUCGGCGGAAGGGGAAUGCUAAUCAUGUUCUGUGCUGGCAACAGCCAGAAUGCUGCACAAUAAAUAGCCAUUUUAAUUACUGCACAAUAU